GAUGAAGAACGCAGCGAAAUGCGAAAAGUAAUAUGAAUUGCAGAAUUCAGUGAACCAUCGAAUCUUUGAACGCACAUUGCGCCCGCUGGAACUCCGGCGGGCACGCCUGUCCGAGCGUCAUUUCAACCCUCAGGCCCCCCUUCGCGGGCGGGCCUGGUGUUGGGGCCCGGCCGCUACCCUGCGGCCGUCCCCUAAAUCCAGUGGCGGCCUCGCCGUGAUCCCUUGCGUAGUAAUGCACCUCGCACCGGAGAGCGCCGUGGCCACGCCGUAAAACCCCCAAUUUUCAAUGGUUGACCUCGGAUCAGGUGGGAAUACCCGCUGAACUUAAGCAUAUCAAUAAGCGGAGGA
rnacentral:misc_RNA from 1 species